rnacentral:misc_RNA from 1 species
UUUCCGUAGGUGAACCUGCGGAAGGAUCAUUAAACGUAUGUACGUAUACCCCAACGCGCACAUGUUGUAUAACCCCAGUGGAAGGGGUGGCGCUUGAGAUGGCGUGAGUGCACGUGUGCGAAAGACAUCUAUUCUGAUCGAUUUCUCAGAGCUCUUCGAUUCGAAGCUACGCGUUCUAUAGGAAACAUACCAAUCCUGUGAUGUUCUUACAUUUUUACGCUUUGUAAAUCUUGAUGAACAUCGUGGAUGCUGUUAAUUCAGUUACCAUGUUAAAAAAAUGAAACUUAAAAACAACUCUCAACAACGGAUAUCUAGGCUCUC